rnacentral:lncRNA from 1 species
GCAGUUGGGCAGUUGGCAGAGUGAUGCGAUGGGACCUACUCUUCGAUAUGUCCCUGUCACUGUACUACCGCUCUUUAUACGUCAAUGUAAUAUACAAUAAUCAAAUAAGGUUGGUAGCCAUGGCAUUGGUGCUGCUCUAGCUAGGCUUGGCCCAACCAUGGAGUCAUUGUACUUUAAACAAAACCUGUACUUCCUAUUUUAGGUUAUGC